AAGCCUGGUGCCCAGGACACCACCAGGAUUGCGGAAGCAGCUGGAGGCGAGGUACUGCAACCCCUCACCUGGAAUCCUUGGCUCCUAUGAAGCAUUUUAAAAUGUGCCACUUGAUUAUGGGCCCUUAAUUUGGUCCUGUGCAACCCCUACUUGCA